AGAGUUUGAUCCUGGCUCAGCCUGAACGCUGGCGGCGUGGCUAAGACAUGCAAGUCGUACGGGCGCAGCAAUGCGUCAGUGGCGGACGGGUGAGUAAAGAAUCGCUAACGUGCCCCGAUCUUUGGGAUAGCCGGCCGAAAGGCCGGGUAAUACCAGAUGACGUGACCCUGUCGCCUGACGGGGUCCCCAAAGGGAAACCGGUCCGGGAGCGGGCGAUUUCGUAUCAGCUAGUUGGCGGGGUAACGGCCCACCAAGGCGACGACGCGUAGCUGGUCUGAGAGGACGGCCAGCCACAUUGGGACUGAGACACUGCCCAGACUCCUACGGGGGGCUGCAGUAACGAAUCUUCCGCAAUGCACGCAAGUGUGACGGAGCGACGCCGCGUGGAGGUUAAGUCCUUCGGGAUGUAAACUCCUGUCAGGGGCCACCAAGUUCUGAGGGGCCCCAGAGGAAGGCACGGCUAACUCUGUGCCAGCAGCCGCGGUAAUACAGAGGUGCCGAGCGUUAGGCGGAAUCACUGGGCUUAAAGCGUGCGUAGGCGGGUGCCUAAGUGUCUUGUGAAAUCCCGCGGCUCAACCGCGGAACGGCUGGGCAUACUGGGCACCUUGAGGCACACAGGGGCGAGCGGAACAAGUGGUGGAGCGGUGAAAUGCGUAGAUAUCACUUGGAACGCCGACGGUGAAAACAGCUCGCUGGGUGUGUUCUGACGCUGAGGCACGAAAGCCAGGGGAGCGAACGGGAUUAGAUACCCCGGUAGUCCUGGCCCUAAACGAUGUCCACUGGGUCGCGGCGGCUCUGACGCCGUCGCGGCCGGAGCAAAAGUGUUAAGUGGACCGCCUGGGAAGUACGGUCGCAAGGCUAAAACUCAAAGGAAUUGACGGGGGCUCACACAAGCGGUGGAGCAUG
rnacentral:rRNA from 1 species